AAUCUGAAAUCGACUGGCUGCUCUCUCGCCCAAGAUUUUACAACCCCCGCAUAUUUUUAUCUCCUUUCACGGAACAAAACUCGAUCCGUUCAAGAAAACGGUGAAAUCUUUGCCGAAUCCCCCCCAGUUCCUCGGAGACGGUCCAAAAAAGGGAAGUUCUUCCAUCUCCUUCUCUUCUCCAUUUUGAAACUAAGAUUAGCUUGUGCUUCUUGCUCAAAUUGCCGUUCUCUGUUUCACUUUUGCGGAGCUACAUGCAAGCUCCGAGCUUUUUACCCAGUUGUGCGCUUGGUUGACUCACGAUUUUGGGGAAUCGUUUCUGUGUUUGCAUAGCGAGUUGCUGAGUUUUGGUACCAAUUCUUUUUCGAGACCUUUUUGAAAGAGCUAUUGAUUUUCUGAAGCUCUUCUGAGUAUAGCACACUGUGUAGAAAUGGAUCGACCACCGGACGAAUUCAGUAGUUUCAUUGAUGGGUAUGUAGUGGAUGAUGGGGAUGAUGCCGCCUUUUCGAUUUUUCCAGAGGAUGAUCUUGUCAGUAGGCUCACCAUCGACGACAUGUUCGAUAAGUUCAGCUGUAGCUACACGUACGCUCCUCCUUUGGGCGGUAACCUCGGGAAGGAACCGGCUGAGGACUAUGACUUUAGUGAUGCAGCUCUCAAGUACAUCAACCAGAUGCUUAUGGAGGAAGACAUAGAAGAGAAGAGUAUCGUGUGUCAUGAGGCCUCAGCACUCGAGGCCGCCGAGAAAUCAUUCUAUGAGGUCAUUGGGGAGAGGUAUCCGCCCGCUGCAGAUCAGCAUCCGUCACCUAGUCGAACCAAUGAGAGCUCGUGUAAUAGCUGCACUAGUGCAAUUACCUUGGUUGAGUCAGAGCCAAACUGUGAAUCACAAGAGCAUUUGGUGUCUCAGUCCAUCUCAUCGCCAAUUGACCAGUCAUUGGGUGGUGUCUAUCUCAAUAUCACUACCGCUGGACAUGCUGAAUCUCCAGUGAGUGCCGUUUCUUUGCCUGAACUUAUUGGAAGUGAGUCAGUUAUGCAGUUCAAGGGCAAUGGUGAAGAAGCUAGAGAGUCGCUCGCUUUUGGAAAUGAAAUUUUAGUAUAUCCGGAGAGGGGUGAAUUUUCCUUCAGUGAACAGACUGAGGAGUGUACAAGUUUGAUUCCCAAUCUAGAGAACAAUGAGAACAUAUUUGCUGACCUUGGAGGAUACAGGGGAAAGAAAAAUCCUUUGCAGGGGGAUGUGAACUUAGAAGAAGGAAGGGCAAGCAAGCAUUUGUCAGUUUACACCGAAUCAACUGUGAGGUCGGAGAUGUUCGAUACGGUGUUGCUCAAUCGUAAAGGAAGCGAAGCCGCCCUUCGCGAAGCUCUACGGAACGGGAUGCAGAAUGGCAAACCGAAAGCACCGAACGAGGGGAAGGCCCGCGGCAAGAAGCAAGGCAGGCGUAAGAGGGAUGUGGUCGACUUGACAGCUCUUUUGACGCUUUGUGCACAAGCCGUUAAUAUGGACGAUCGAGGAAGCUCUGGUGAGCUGCUCAAGCAGAUCAGAAGGCACGCGUCUCCCACAGGGGAUGGGAUGGAAAGGAUGGCACACUAUUUUGCAACUGGUCUCGAGGCACGCCUCGCCGGGUCAGGCUCUCAGAUUUACAAGGCUCUCAUGGCGAGGCCAACAUCGGUUGUAGACAUCUUGAAGGCUUAUCAUCUCUUUCUCGCAGCUUGUCCAUUUAAGAAGCUCUCAAAUUUCUUCUCAAACAAGACGAUAAUGAACGUGGCGGGGAAGGCACCCAAGUUGCACAUCAUUGAUUUCGGAAUUCUCUAUGGUUUCCAGUGGCCUGGCCUUAUAGAGCGUCUCUCAUUGAGCCCCGGAGGACCCCCUAAGCUUCGGAUUACUGGGAUUGAUCUGCCACAACCAGGAUUUAAACCAGAGGAAAUCGUUGAGGAAACUGGAAGACGCUUGGCGAGCUACGCCAAAACUUUCAAUGUCCCAUUCAAGUUUAAUGCUAUAGCGAAAAAUUGGGAUGCCAUUAAAGUUGAGGAGCUAGAUAUCCACAGCGAUGAAAUCCUUGUUGUGAACUGCAUAUAUAGAUUACAUCACAUACUCGAUGACACGGUGGUGGCGGAGAGUCCACGAGAUUUUGUACUGAAUCUGAUAAGAAAGAUGAAUCCAGCUGUUCUCAUUCAGGGAGUCAUAAAUGGUGGCCAUGGUGUUCCCUUUUUCAGCUUGCGGUUCCGGGCUGCGCUCUUCCAUUAUUCAGCCAUCUUUGACAUGCUCGACGCGACCGUACCUCGUGAUGCCCCAGAGAGGUUGCUGCUUGAGCGGGAGAUACUCGGGAGGCAGGCGAUGAAUGUCAUUGCCUGCGAAGGCUCGGAGAGGAUCGAGAGGCCCGAGACAUACAAAAUGUCGCACUCGCGAAACCUGAGGGCCGGGUUUAGGCAGCUACCCUUGGAUAAGGAUAUGGUGAGCUUGGCAAAGGAAAGGCUGAAAUCUUAUUACCAUAAGGAUUUUGAGAUUGAAGAAGAUGGGCAGUGGCUGUUGCAGGGCUGGAAGGGCAGGAUUGUCUAUGCGCUAUCGACCUGGAGGCCUGAUUGUUGAAUGUAUAAAUUGCCCGUCGAAAGUAGAUGAGGAAAGAUUUUCACAUCCUGCGUCUGAUUGGGCUCUUACUGUUUCAAUCGUACUGUCAGAAGGCAUUUCCAGAUAUGAAAGGUUUAGUGGGACAUGAGAGGAAUCCUGGAUUCUACACUAGCAGUGGCAUAGGAGCGACUGGCAUAGGAGUCACUCUUAACGCGAAUCAUAUUGCUGUGGUUUUUCCAUUAUCUUCAUAGUUGAAGAUUACGCGAUCUGGGAUGCUGUAACGUUGUUUUCACUAUGAAGGAAAAUCAAGCUGCGAUUAUCACUAUUGUUGGGGUUUGUUUCGGGAUCAUGUGAACUGAGAUGCUAUUAAGUUGUCUGCAAUGGAGGACAAUCAUGCUACAAUCAUCACUGGUGUGGUUUGUUUCGGGAUCCAAUCUUCCAGUUCGCAGAUUAGAUUUUCAUGAGCUCAGAGUCGCUUACAGAGAUAUCUCUGCCUUGAGUUGGCAGUCCUGAGGUCGAUGCCGUGAUGCAUGCUUUCAAGCAGCUCCUAUGAGAAGCAAAGCUGCUCAAAUGCUUCCCCGAGUGGAGCAACUUUUGGUCUCGAGCCUUAUUGUCGAUUGGUGUUCGAGCUAGUUUACACACGCAUCGGUUAGUGGAACAUCCCAAGCGAGUCAAUGGCACACAAGCCACACUUGGUCUAGAGAAAUUCCAUACUGAUGGAAAAUCCCAGGCUUGGGGUGGUUAGACGGAAGAGGCACCAGCAUGAAUCGUGAGUGCAACUGUUGAACAUCAUUCUUGAUUUACAACCUGGGCUUACAACCUUGAUACCGAGGAAUCUGAAAUCGAACUGGUUGUUCCCUCAACCAGAUUUACAACCUUUUGUUUUGUUUUGUUUUUUUUUUUUCCUGCGAACAAAGCUUGAUUGGUUCAAGGAAA